rnacentral:rRNA from 1 species
CAAUAGCAUAUAUUAAAGUUGUUGACAGUUAAAAAGCUCGUAGUUGGAUUUCUGGUACAACGCGCCUGGCCCGCUUUAUGUGAGUGCCGGUGCGCGUUUGCCAUCCUUCUAGAAAACGUUUCUACCUGGGCAACCGGGCCGGACUCGCGAUCUAGAUCUUUUACUUUGAAAAAUUAGAGUGUUUAAAGCAGGCUUUUGCUGUGAAUACAUUAGCAUGGAAUAAUAAUCUAGGACUUCGGUUCUAUUUUGUUGGUUUUCUUAGUUACUGAAGUAAUGAUUGAUAGGGAUAGUUGGGGGGUGCUAGUAUUGGCCGGCCAGAGGUGAAAUUCUUGGAUUCGGUCAAGACUAACUUAUGCGAAAGCAUUCACCAAGGAUGUCUUUCUUUUAAUCAAGAACGAAAGUUAGGGGGGAUCGGAAGACGAUCAGAUACCAU